GCUCUAAUCAUCUAGCGGUCUAGGAUAUUACCUUCUCAAGGUAAAUACAGGAGUUCAAAUCUCCUUUAGAGUU
rnacentral:tRNA from 1 species